UUUCAUAUUAAUUUUACGGGGGCAAAAAUAUUUCCUACACGCUAGCUUGAACAAAUGCAAUUGUCACAGAAACAACAAGAUCUGGAUAUGAAAUUUAAUUGCAUGCACAAAUGAAAGGAAAAUAUCAUAUUACAUAUAUAAACCGUCUAACAACGAGAAAUAGAAUUACAUUCACAUAUUUAGAAAUUAGAACCAAACUAUCACUACAAAAUGAAAGCUCACUCAGUCAGUCAGUUAAUAGAAAACAAUGUUUGGAGUACUAGGACUGCUAGGUGUACCGAUAUACCGAAACAUAUCGGGCAAAUAAUUAUGACUAAAAACACGGCGGCCAAUAUUGCGAGGCCAUCAGGCAUUACUUCAAACCGCUUCAGACAAAAUGUAGGCUACGUUACGAUUAUAUUAUUUGAAACAGAUUAGUUAUCACAUUUAAGGUGGCUCCCUACAGUUUUCUAAAAUUUUAAGUAUUUUAGGUAGCCUUCGUUUUGAACCAAAUUUAUAUUGAAAACACUUAAGACAGGGCAAUAUAAUCAUUUCCAGGAAAGUUCAGAAGUCUUCUGCUGUCGAUAUAUGAACAAAUAGGAACAGUGUUAGUGUUGCCAUGGCAACCAUGACGUUUCAUCUUUUGCACUUUUAUUGUCUAAUUUUACAAUCAAACGGCAAUAUCUUUUUUUUCCUUCGGUCAAUUUUUCUGAAUUUUUUUUUUUAAGAUUUAUGGUUGAAAGGGGAAUGACAUAUUAAAAUUUGAAGGGAUGUUUAUAAGGCCGAUUUUGAGAUAUUCAUGAAUAACGACUACAAAAAAUCUGUCUUAUAGAAUUUCUUGAAAUUUUGAUAUGUUUGGCGAAUCGUCAUGCUUAGCAAACGUGCAAAGUUUAAAAAACUUUCACCGAAGGAAACGCGAGAAAAAUAGUCCUAAAUCCAGUUGAAGCUGUUGACGUGACAAAAUAUCGAUUCGACAUGAUCACUAUUUGCGUGGGGAACACGAAACGCGUACGGUUUAUAGUUGGCUUUUUUAACAAUUUUCUCUUUGAGUUUUUGGCUUAUAUGUAUCACACAGAUAUUUUUUACUUAUUUGAAAUGAAAAUAAAAGACAUAUGUAUUCAAAAUACGAAACAUUGAGAACACAAUAACGCACUGACUUAAUCCAACGCUUCUUAAAUUUAG